rnacentral:misc_RNA from 1 species
UCCAACUUAUCGCUGGCGGUCUCCUGCGAGUGCCCCCUUGCGGGGUUGCAACACAGGACAAGGGUUGCGCUCGUUGCGGGACUUAACCCAACAUCUCACGACACGAGCUGACGACAGCCAUGCAGCACCUCGACUCCACUCCCUUGCGGGAUAGCGGUGUUUCCACCGCCGUUGAGAAGCCGUUCGAGCCCAGGUAAGGUUCUUCGCGUUGCGUCGAAUUGAACCACAUGCUCCACCGCUUGUGCGGGCCCCCGUCAAUUCCUUUGAGUUUCAGCCUUGCGACUGUACUCCCCAGGCGGCACAUUUAACGCGUUAGCUCCGGCACAGACCGACUGAACGGCCUACACCAAAUGUGCAUCGUUUAGGGCGUGGACUAC